AGUCCAUAUAGUGAAUGAUCCCCAAUAUUCUCCCUCUUUCUUUGCUGCUCCAGUAGAGAUAAGUAUCAUAUAUAUUCACUUAUGCUACUGUUUUCUAAACAUACCUUCUAGUUUGAUUAUAUGUUUGACAUAUGAAUUUAUUCACUGGAAUAUAUGCUUUUUUGAAGUAAUUCUAUGUUUCUUAUAGUUUUUUGUCUUUAAACUGUUCAGUCAUUUCGGCAGUUUCUACACGAACCGUUGCACGCGCGUUUUCUGUCAGUUAGUCCAUUAUACAUUGAUGAUGUUUAUGGGCGGGAAUACCAGUUAGUUGGUCCUCAGCUAACUUUCCAGCCAACUUUACCUCAGGACAGCACUUUCCUCACAACUUGUUACUCUCUAAUGGUAAUUAUUAUAAUUUGAACUAUUUGAAUUACUGUCAGUAUUUCCCCUCAUAACUGGCAACAUUUACUUACUAUUUAACUAUUCUACGAAGAGUAGAUACAAUUACUAUUUGUUGCAAUUUUGAAAUUAUGAACUCUAAGGAGAUCAGACAGAUUGAAUCACCAAAACCUGGUGUUUCUCAUGACUGUGAAAUCCUCACUGAGGAUUCUUUACAUAAUAUUGUGGAUUUAUCCGUUCAAAAGUCAGUUUCCUCUGCUAUUUAUACUGCAAUGUCCUCUAUGCAAGAGGCAAUUGCAAAGUCUGUGGCUCAAGCCAUAAAUAACUCAAAACCCAGUGAGAAGACUCAUU